rnacentral:tRNA from 1 species
GCAGUGGUGGAUCAGUGGUAGAAUUCUCACCUUCAUGCAACAGACCUGGGUUCAAUUCCCAGCCAGUGCA